UUCAUUUACAUUGAAAAGAUUUUUGUGCAAUUCAAUAUGAUUUGAUCAAAUUUUAUUUAUUAAUAAAGUUGGUGUUUAAAAUAAAAUAUUAAAAAUAAUUAUAUUUUGGGAUGUUAGAGUAUUUUAUAAAGAAAUAAUAAUUUUAUUAUAGGUUAGUAGUAAUGUGAAUGAAAAUUGAAAUAUUAUGAAAAAUUAUUGUAAUAAAAGAAAUUUUUAAAGAAUGUACCUUGUGUAUCAGGGUUUAUUAAUUAAAAAAUAAAAAUUUAUUUUUCCCGAUUUUAAAAGAGUUAAUAGUUUAUUUGAGUUAAUGUAAUAAAAUUAUUUAAAAUAAGUUAUUAGAAAUGAAAUGUUAUUCGUUUUUAAAGGUAUCUGGUUCUUUUAGAAAUAAAUUAAAUUUAGGAUAAAAUUUAUAAAUUUUUAAUUUUUUAAAUUUUUAUAAUUUGAGUCUAAUAUUUUAUGGGAUAAGCUGUAAAAUAAAAUUUUAUAAGUGAGAAUAAUAUAAUAAAUUUGUAUGCUUAGAAUUAGCAAUUAAUCGAAAAAUUGUUAUAAAUUAUUAAAAAUUUUAAAUUAUUUAUUAAACUUUAAUUAUUUAUAAAAGUAUUUKCAAUAAUAAUAUAUGAAUAAAAAUUAUGAUAAAAUUAGUAUAUAUUUAUGUAAAAAUAAUAAAAAAAGAAAAGUUUAUUUAAAGAAUUCGGCAAAAUAAUGUUCGCCUGUUUAACAAAAACAUGUCUUUUUGAAUUUAAUUUGAAGUCUAACCUGCCCACUGAAUUUUAAAUGGCCGCAGUAUACUAACUGUGCAAAGGUAGCAUAAUCAUUAGUCUUUUAAUUGAAGGCUGGAAUGAAUGGUUGGACGAGGCAUUAACUGUUUCAAUUGAAUUUAUUAUAGAAUUUUAUUUUUUAGUCAAAAAGCUAAAAUAUUUUUAAAAGACGAGAAGACCCUAUAAAUCUUUAUAUUUGAAUUAUUAUAUUUUAUUAGAUUAUUUUUAGUAUAAUAAUAAAAAUAUUUUAUUGGGGUGAUAUUAAAAUUUAAAAAACUUUUAAUUUGAAAUUUCAUUAAUUUAUGAAUAAUUGAUCCGUUAAUAACGAUUAAAAAUUUAAGUUACUUUAGGGAUAACAGCGUAAUUUUUUUGGGGAGUUCAUAUCUAUAAAA
rnacentral:rRNA from 1 species